rnacentral:lncRNA from 10 species
GUGCCAGUCAUAUAAAAGUGAACAAGCGACAAAGAUUCCUGCUCUGGAGCUUACAUUCUACUAUGCUAAAAUGCAAUAAACGUAUCAUUGUAUAAAAUGUGGGGUGACAGGUGCCACCGAGUAGAAUAAAGCCAGGUAAAAGAGAACAGAGACCCUGUGUGGAUGAGGGUAGAGAACGCCAGGACUACAGACUAGAUUUUAAGAUUCCUGUUUUAUACAGGAAAAAAAAUAAGCCUCAGAGGAGUGACUUGCCUAAGCUGUUUUCCCUUGCUUUUUUUUUUUUUUUUUUUUUUUUUUGAUACGGCGUCUCGCUCAGUUGCCCAGGCUGGAGUGCAGUGGGUGGCAUGGUCUUGGCUCAUUGCAAUCUCCACCUCCCAGGCUCAAGCAAUUCUCCUGCUUCAGCCUCCCGAUUAGCUGGGAUUACAGGCACCCACCAACCAUGCCCGACUUUUUUUUUUUUUUUUUUUUUUUUGAGACGGAGUCUUGCUCUGUCUCCCAGGCUGGAGUGCAAUGGUGCCAUUGUGGCUGACUACAGCCUCCGCCUCUGGGUUCAAGCGAUUCUCCCACCUCAGCCCCCCAAGUAGCUGGGAUUACAGGUGCCCACCACCACGCCUGGCUAAUUUUUUGUAUUUUUGGUAGAGAGGAGGUUUCACCAUGUUGGCCAGGCCAGUCUCGAACUCCUGACCUCAGAUGAUCUGCCCGCCUAGGCCUCCCAAAGUACUGGGAUUACAGGUGUGAGCCACCCUGCCUGGCUAUUUGUUUUUUUUUUUUUUUUUUUUUUUUUUGAGAUAGGGUCUCAGUCGGUCCCCCAGGUUGGAGUGGAGUGCAGUGGCCUGAUCACAGCUCAUUGCCACUUUGGCCUCCUGGGGCUCAAGCUGUUUUCCCAGGGCUCAAGUGGUCCUCCCAGGGCUCAAGUAGUCCCCCAAGCUCAGUCUCCCCAGUCACUGGGACUACAAGCCUGCUCCACCACGCCCGGUAGAUUUUCUGGUUUUUUUUUUUUUUUUUUUUUUGUAGAGAUGGGGCUCUCACUUUGUUGUCAAGGCUGGUCUCGAACUCCUGGGCUCAAGUGAUCCUCCCAUUUCGGCCUCCCAAAGUGUUGGGAUUACAGGCAUGAGCCACAGUGCCAGGGCCGAGGCUCUUCUCAACUGCUGCAGCAGACAGCUUGGUUCUUGCCUCUCUGCAGACAGAAGACUUGUGUCUCAGGCUCAGUGCUUUGUCUCACAGAGUGCUGGACACACAAGAACAAAUUAUCUUUCUCUAGGUAUCCAUUUUUGGCUCUAGGCUCUCUGCUUCACAGGUGGAUGGAGUGAUGGGGAAGAUGCUGUGGCCAGUGCACCUAGGUUCAAAUCCUACCUCCCUGUGGUCUUGGGCAAGCUGCUUAACCUCUCUGCCUCAGCUUCUGCAUCUGUAUGUAACUUUUGCAAGUUUGUAAUGAGGAGAGCACUUAACACAGAGCCUAAGCCAAACAGUAAAUGCUUCCUAUUUUAUUGUCUCAGUCAUUUCACAGUCAUGACCCCUUCUGGGGAAGCUUGUGGGAAACUCUGACUCACAUUGCAGACUACCGAGCCACGGUCCCUUCCUCGGCUCCGUUUCUGCUCCCUCCACCCCACGAGGCUGGAGUGCAGUGGCGGGAUGAGAGUUCACUAUGAUCUCGACUUCCUGGACUCAGAUGGUUCUCCCACUUCAGCUUCCGGAUCUAAUAUUUCAAUAAUUUCAAGAACACUGCAUUCAUUCCUCUCCACAUGAGCAAUUGCCAAAAGUAGGCUUUACAUUUUUGCUCGUUUUCUUUUGGGUCUGUGGCUAGUCUCCACUUCCUUUUUUUUUUUUUUUUUUUUUUUUUUUUUUUUAAGAUAGUCUCACUCUGUCCCCCACAACCCCCAACCCCGGCUGGAGUGCAGUGGCCAGAUCUGGGCUUACUGCAACCUCUGCCUCCCAAGUUCAGGUGAUUCUUGUGCCUCAGCCUCCUGAGUAGCUGGGAUUACAGGCACGUGCCCACCAUGACUGGCUAAUUUUUUGCAUUUUUAGUAGAGACGGGGUUUUGCCAUGUUGGCCAGGUUGGUCUCGAACGCCUGGCCUCAAAGUGAUCCACCCGUUUGGGCCUCCCAAAGUGCUGGGAUUACAGGCCUGAGUUACUGCACCCGGCCUGUCCCCGAAAUUCGAUUGCAGCCGGCGAUAAAGCUUUUUUUUACCCCGCUUCUCGGCAAAGCGUUGUGUUUUUAUUUUAGCAGACUCACCUGGCACUAAGGACUGCUCUGGUGGUCUUCGGAGGCUCCUGGGAUCGACUGCUUGGACAGAGGUGACAUCACCCAAUUAGUGAGAGCCAAGACCUAAGGCUGCAGCUGCCUUCCAGGUUUUUAGCUCCUGGAGCACUGACUUUCUCCAGCAUAACUCCUGUCAUCAAUCGACACCCUGGUUCCCCAAUUCCUUGACCUCAGCUUUGACUACCCCAGCCACUCACUUCCCUGGUCUAACCCUAGGUCAUGUCAUUGUCGAUUGCCAUAACCCCAUCCACUUCGAGGGUCACACUCUCCAAUCACCUCUACCAUCCCUCCCUCUGCUACCCUUUGGUACCUGUCACCCCACUCCCCACCCCCUCAACCCGCAUCCCCAAAGUCCUUGGGCCCACCUCCAACUAAUCUAACUGCACCAACUCUAACAAACUGCACCUGUGUCACUGAGUGUAACUGGUGGAAGCUGACUGGGCUCACCUUAACCCUGGGCAAGCUGGGGGAAAAUAGACAUCCCACAUUUGCUACCUGGGGCCCAAUAAGUCUGCAUUAGUCUGUGCUCGUGCUGCUAAUAAAAACAUACCGGAGACUGGGUAAUUUAUAAAGAAAAAGAGGUUUAAUGGACUCACAGUUCCACGUGGCUGGGGAAGCCUCACAAUCAUGGUGGAAGGUGAAAGGCAUGUCUUACAUGGUGGAAGGUGAGAGAGAACUUGUGCAAGGGAACUCCCCUUUAUAAAACCAUCAGAUCUUGUGAGACUUAUUCACUAUCAUGAGAACAAUAUGGAAAAGUCCUGGCCCCAUGAUUCAAUUACCUCCCACUGGGUCCCUCCCAUGACACGUGGGAAUUAUGGGAGCUACAAUUCAAGAUGAGACUUGGGUGGGGACACAGCCAAACCAUAUCAUUUUGCUGUAGCCCCUCCCAAAUCUCAUGUCCUCACAUUUCAAAACCUAUCAUGCCUUCCCAACAGUCUCCCAAAGUCUUAUUUCAGCAUUAACUCAAAAGUCUACAGUCCAAAGUCUCAUCUGAGACAAGGCAAGUCCCUUCCGCCUACCAGCCUGUACAAUCAAAAGCAAGUUAGGGUCGGGCAUGGUGGCUCAUGCCUGUGAUCCCAGCACUUUGGGAGGCCAAGGCAGGCAGAUCAUCUGAGUUCGGGAGUUUGAGACCAGUCUGGCCAACAUAGUGAAACCCCAUCUCUACUAAAAAUACAAAAAAAUUAGCCGGGCGUGGUGGCACAUGCCUGUAAUCCCAGCUACUCGAGAGGCCGAAGCAGGAGAAUCGCUUGAACCCAGGAGGCAGAGGUUGCAGUGAGCCAAGAUCAUGGCACUGCACUCCAGCCUGGGUGACAGAGUGAGACUCUGUCUCAAAAAGAAAAAAAAAAAAGCAAGUUUGUUAAUUCCUAGAUACAAUGAGGGUACAGGCAUUGAGUAAAUACAGCUGUUCAAAAUGGGAGAAAUUGGCCAAAACAAAGGGGUUACAGAUCUCCUAUGCAAGUCUGAAGUCCAGUGGAGCAGUCAAAUCUUUUUUUUUUUUUUU